rnacentral:rRNA from 1 species
UACGUAGGCAGCAAGCGUUGUUCGGAAUUACUGGGCGUAAAGCGCGUGUAGGCGGCCAUGCAAGUCGGAUGUGAAAGCCCUCGGCUCAACCGGGGAAGUGCACUCGAAACUGCAAGGCUAGAGUCUCGGAGAGGAUCGUGGAAUUCUCGGUGUAGAGGUGAAAUUCGUAGAUAUCGAGAGGAACACCGGUGGCGAAGGCGGCGAUCUGGACGAUGACUGACGCUGAGACGCGAAAGCGUGGGGAGCAAACAGG